GUCGGGCCUGCUCCCUGCUCAAAGUAAAUAGCUGCAGUAUAAAUGACUGUACUAAGGUAGCAUAAUAAUUUGUCUUUUAAAUGAAGACUGGCAUGAACGGUCUGACGAGGAUUCAUCUGUCUCAAUUAUACUAAUCGAACUUAGAAUGAUGGUGAAAAUCCCUUCAUGAAGGAGGGGGACGACAAGACCCUUUAGAUCUAAAAAAAGGAGAAAAUUAAAUAUUAGAUUAAAUUUUAUUUCUUACAUUUGUUUGGGAAGAACCUUUGAUGAAAACUUCAGAUUAAAAAAAGAUCAGUAAAUCGAAAAAAAAAAAAUGGAUUAGAUCAAUAAUCUAAGAUUAGAAACUUAGAUACCUAAGGGAUAACAGCGUUAUCUGGUAUUCUAGACCGUAUAUUAUACUACGCUUGCGACCUCGAUGUUGAAUUAGGUUAAAAUAUUAAAGAAGAAAAUAAUAAUUUUUAGUCU
rnacentral:rRNA from 1 species